rnacentral:rRNA from 1 species
GUAGUCAUAUGCUUGUCUCAAAGAUUAAGCCAUGCAUGUCUAAGUAUAAGCAAUUAUACCGCGAAACUGCGAAUGGCUCAUUAUAUAAGUUAUCGUUUACUUGAUAGCACAUUUACCUACUUGGAUAACCGUGGUAAUUCUAGAGCUAAUACAUGCUAAAAAUCCCGACUCCGGAAGGGAUGUAUUUAUUAGAUUAAAAACCAAUGCCCUUCGGGGCUCUCUGGUGAUUCAUGAUAACUUCUCAGAUCGCACGGCCUUACGCCGGCGACGGUUCAUUCAAAUUUCUGCCCUAUCAACUUUCGAUGGUAAGGUAUUGGCUUACCAUGGUUUCAACGGGUAACGGGGAAU